UACAGAGGUCUCGAGCGUUAGGCGGAAUCACUGGGCUUAAAGGGUGCGUAGGCGGCAUGAUAAGUUAUUGGCGGGAAAUCGAGGCUCAACCUCGUGGAAACUAAUAAUACUGUUUUGCUUGAGUACAGGAGAGGUUAACGGAACUCCAUGUGGAGCGGUAAAAUGUGUAGAUAUAUGGAAGAACAUCAAUAACGGCGAAGGCAGUUAACUAUUCUGUUACUGACGUUGAGGCGCGAAAGCGUGGGGAGCAAAACGG
rnacentral:rRNA from 1 species